rnacentral:rRNA from 1 species
UACGGGGGGGGCAAGCGUUGUUCGGAAUUACUGGGCGUAAAGGGCUCGUAGGCGGCCAACUAAGUCAUACGUGAAAUCCCUCGGCUUAACCGGGGAACUGCGUCUGAUACUGGAUGGCUUGAGUUCGGGAGAGGGAUGCGGAAUUCCAGGUGUAGCGGUGAAAUGCGUAGAUAUCGGAGGAACACCGGUGGCGAAGGCGGCAUCCUGGACCACACUGUACGCUGAGUGAGCGAAAG